rnacentral:tRNA from 1 species
GCGGGUGUAGUUCAGCGGUAGAACGCUAUCUUUCCAAGUUAGAUGCCAUCGGUUCGAUCCCGAUCACCCGCU